GUACUUCGGGAGCACAUAUACUAAAAUUGGGAUGAUACAGAGAAGGGUAGCAUGGCCCCUGCACGAGGAUGACACGCAAAUUCGUGAAGCGCUCCAUAUUUUU